UGGCGACCGGCGCACGGGUGAGUAACACGUAUCCAACCUGCCGAUGACUCGGGGAUAGCCUUUCGAAGGAAAGAUUAAUACCCGAUGGCAUAGUUCUUCCGCAUGGUAGAACUAUUAAAGAAUUUCGGUCAUCGAUGGGGAUGCGUUCCAUUAGGCAGUUGGUGGGGUAAUGGCCCACCAAACCUUCGAUGGAUAGGGGUUCUGAGAGGAAGGUCCCCCACAUUGGAACUGAGACACGGUCCAAACUCCUACGGGAGGCAGCAUG
rnacentral:rRNA from 1 species